rnacentral:tRNA from 1 species
ACCAGGUUGGCCGAGUGGUUAAGGCGCCAGACUUAAGUUCUGGUCUCUGUUAAAGAGACGUGAGUUCGAUCCUCACACCUGGUA